UACGUAGGGUGCGAGCGUUGUCCGGAUUUAUUGGGCGUAAAGGGCUCGUAGGCGGCGUGUCGCGUCGGGAGUGAAAGCCCGUUGCUUAACGGCGGGUUGGCUUUCGGUACGGGCAUGCUGGAGUGCGGCAGGGGAGACUGGAAUUCCUGGUGUAGCGGUGGAAUGCGCAGAUAUCAGGAGGAACACCGGUGGCGAAGGCGGGUCUCUGGGCCGAUAUUGACGCUGAGGAGCGAAAGCGUGGGGAGCGAACAGG
rnacentral:rRNA from 1 species